UCAAUCAGUUCUUAAAAACCACUUAGUUCACAAAAUAAAAUAUUAAAAAAACACUUAGUUCACAAAUUAAAUAUUAAAACUAAUAUAUUAUUUUAAAGUGUAAGCAUAUAGAAUGAGUCAUAAAAUGUAUAAACAUUAUAAGCAUGCAUCAUAGAACUUGAAAAAUAAACAACAACAAAAUGGGAAAAAAAGAAACAACAACCUUCAACUUAGUUC
rnacentral:lncRNA from 1 species